GGGACUGUGGCUCAGUGGUAGAAUACUUGCCUUGCAUGCAUGAGACACUGGGUUCGAUUCCUCAGCACCA
rnacentral:tRNA from 1 species